UGGGAAGAGAGAGCAAGGAGCUGGAGGG
rnacentral:piRNA from 1 species